UCUCAAAGUGCUAAGCCUAGUUUGGGGCUGCUUCCUUGCUUUGGAAUUAAACUUUGGGACAUUAAGACACAGGCUGAAGGAUAUAUUGGGUAGAUGGUUUUUUCUCUAUAAAUUUCCCUCCCAUCCUACAAAA